rnacentral:rRNA from 1 species
UCGAGCGAACAGAGAAGGAGCUUGCUCCUUUGACGUUAGCGGCGGACGGGUGAGUAACACGUGGGCAACCUACCUUAUAGUUUGGGAUAACUCCGGGAAACCGGGGCUAAUACCGAAUAAUCUAUUUCACUUCAUGGUGAAAUACUGAAAGACGGUCUCGGCUGUCGCUAUAAGAUGGGCCCGCGGCGCAUUAGCUAGUUGGUGAGGUAACGGCUCACCAAGGCGACGAUGCGUAACCGACCUGAGAGGGUGAUCGGCCACACUGGGACUGAGACACGGCCCACACUCCUACGGGAGGCAGCAGUAGGGAAUCUUCCACAAUGGGCGAAAGCCUGAUGGAGCAACGCCGCGUGAGUGAAGAAGGUUUUCGGAUCGUAAAACUCUGUUGUAAGGGAAGAACAAGUACAGUAGUAACUGGCUGUACCUUGACGGUACCUUAUUAGAAAGCCACGGCUAACUACGUGCCAGCAGCCGCGGUAAUACGUAGGUGGCAAGCGUUGUCCGGAAUUAUUGGGCGUAAAGCGCGCGCAGGCGGUCCUUUAAGUCUGAUGUGAAAGCCCACGGCUCAACCGUGGAGGGUCAUUGGAAACUGGGGGACUUGAGUGCAAAAGAGGAAAGUGGAAUUCCAAGUGUAGCGGUGAAAUGCGUAUAGAUUUGGAGGAACACCAGUGGCGAAGGCGACUUUCUGGUCUGUAACUGACGCUGAGGCGCGAAAGCGUGGGGAGCAAACAGGAUUAGAUACCCUGGUAGUCCACGCCGUAAACGAUGAGUGCUAAGUGUUAGGGGGUUUCCGCCCCUUAGUGCUGCAGCUAACGCAUUAAGCACUCCGCCUGGGGAGUACGGUCGCAAGACUGAAACUCAAAGGAAUUGACGGGGGCCCGCACAAGC